rnacentral:rRNA from 1 species
UACGAAGGGGGCUAGCGUUGCUCGGAAUCACUGGGCGUAAAGCGCACGUGGGCGGACUCUUAAGUCGGUGGUGAAAUCCUGGAGCUCAACUCCAGAACUGCCUUCGAUACUGGGAGUCUCGAGUUCGGGAGAGGUGAGUGGAACUGCGAGUGUAGAGGUGAAAUUCGUAGAUAUUCGCAAGAACACCAGUGGCGAAGGCGGCUCACUGGCCCGAUACUGACGCUGAGGUGCGAAAGCGUGGGGAGCAAACAGG